rnacentral:misc_RNA from 1 species
UACGAAGGGUGCAAGCGUUACUCGGAAUUACUGGGCGUAACGCGCGCGUAGGCGGUUUGUUAAGCGAGAUGUGAAAGCCCUGGGCUUAACCUGGGAACUGCAUUUCGAACUGGCAGGCUAGAGUGUAGAAGAGGGGUGUGGAAUUUCCGGUGUAGCGGUGAAAUGCGUAGAGAUCGGAAGGAACACCAGUGGCGAAGGCGACACCCUGGUCUAACACUGACGCUGAGGCGCGAAAGCGUGGGGAGCAAACAGG